GAGGAGCCAGGCUCUUUCUGUCCUCCGCUUUGCUUCUUCAUGCAUUUAGGUCUUGUUUUCAGGCUUGCCCUUUUAUCAGCCCAGCUCCAGAGGUCAAGAUGGUUUUCAAAGGCAGGAAGCAGGAGGCCCGAGUGGGAACGAGGUCCAGGAGACCUUUCCCAGAAGCCUCCGGCAGCCUGCUCUCAUAGCGCAUUGGUCAGAGCUGACCACACAGCUGUCCUUUGCUCCAAGCGAUGCUGAGAAAGCCGCUCCGGAAGCAGAAGUCCCAGGGUUGGUUUCUUCUGAGGCCUCUCUCCUUGGCUCGGCUUGAAGAUGGCUGUCUUUUCUCUGGAUCUUUGCAAAGUCUUUCCCCUGUGCAUGUCUGUGUCCUAAGCUCCUCUUCUGGCAAAGGACCCUGCGGGCAGAGCAUCCCCUGCUGAGAACCCAAACCACUCCCUCAAGAACUGCCCUGAGCCAGCAACACCCCACCCACGAUCGACCUCCCCCAAGACAGGGACGGACCACACCUGUAUGGCCCACCUUCAGGUACCCACCAGCCUUUGUCCCGUUUUUUUUCCUUACACAAACCUGGACGUAUUUUCAGCGCUUUGGAGACAUCUUUGAGACACUGCUAUCUUCCUGGUGUCGGCC